rnacentral:tRNA from 1 species
AUUCAAAUAUCUUAUAUAGAGUAUAACAUUGAAGCAGUUAUUGAGAUAAAUUUAUCUUUGAAUA